GAACGUGUGGCCUAUCGGAUAAGGCGUCGGACUUCUUUGAAGUGCAUCCGAAAAUUGCGGGUUCGAAAAUCCCGCCAUGAUUA
rnacentral:tRNA from 1 species